GGAGGUGUGGCUCAAUGGUAGAGCACAUGUGUAUUAUGCAUGAGGCGGCCUUGGGUUUGAUUCUCAACACUGACCA
rnacentral:tRNA from 1 species